UACGUAGGUGGCAAGCGUUGUCCGGAAUUAUUGGGCGUAAAGCGCGCGCAGGCGGUCCUUUAAGUCUGAUGUGAAAGCCCACGGCUCAACCGUGGAGGGUCAUUGGAAACUGGCGGGCUUGAGUGUGGCAGAGGGGGGUGGAAUUCCGCGUGUAGCAGUGAAAUGCGUAGAGAUGCGGAGGAACACCGAUGGCGAAGGCAGCCCCCUGGGCUGACACUGACGCUGAGGCACGAAAGCGUGGGGAGCAAACAGG
rnacentral:rRNA from 1 species